UGCAUAACUCUGUAAAAUUGGUUCACUGCGAUUAUAUAUCUCAGUAGCCGAAUGGUUAGAAGUGUUGCUCGAUAAGCAUUGGGUUUUGGUGUUGGUGGUUCGAAAUUUGCUCAGGGCAGAAUUUUUAUUUACGGUUAAUGGUUCAGAUUCGAUUUGUAACUCAAAA